CUUGUACACACCGCCCGUCAAGCCACCUGAAUCGAGAGUACCCUAAGUCGCUGAUCCAACCGCAAGGAGGAAGGCGCCCAAGGUAAAAUCGGUGAGGAGGGCU
rnacentral:rRNA from 1 species